rnacentral:rRNA from 1 species
GACAGAGGAUGCAAGCGUUAUCCGGAAUGAUUGGGCGUAAAGCGUCUGUAGGUGGCUUUUUAAGUCCGCCGUCAAAUCCCAGGGCUCAACCCUGGACAGGCGGUGGAAACUACCAAGCUCGAGUACGGUAGGGGUAGAGGGAAUUCCCGGUGAAGCAGUGAAAUGCACAGAGAUCGGGAAGAACACCAGUGGCGAAGGCGCUCUACUAGGCCGUGACUGACACUGAGAGACGAUAGCUAGGGGAGCGAAUAGG